rnacentral:rRNA from 1 species
AAAGAAACCAACAGGGAUUGCCCCAGUAACGGCGAGUGAAGCGGCAACAGCUCAAAUUUGAAAUCUGGCCCCUCCGGGCCCGAGUUGUAAUUUGCAGAGGAUGCUUUUGGCGCGGUGCCUUCCGAGUUCCCUGGAACGGGACGCCAUAGAGGGUGAGAGCCCCGUCUGGUCGGACACCAAGCCUUGUAAAGCUCCUUCGACGAGUCGAGUAGUUUGGGAAUGCUGCUCUAAAUGGGAGGUAUAUGUCUUCUAAAGCUAAAUACCGGCCAGAGACCGAUAGCGCACAAGUAGAGUGAUCGAAAGAUGAAAAGCACUUUGGAAAGAGGGUUAAAAAGUACGUGAAAUUGUUGAAAGGGAAGCGUUUGUGACCAGACUUGGGCCCGGCUAAUCAUCCAGCGUUCUCGCUGGUGCACUUGGCCGGCCCAGGCCAGCAUCAGUUCCCGCCGGGGGUCAAAGGUUUCGGGAACGUGGCUCCCUCGGGAGUGUUAUAGCCCGUUGCGUAAUACCCUGGCGAGGACUGAGGUUCGCGUUCUGCAAGGAUGCUGGCGUAAUGGUCAUCAGCGACCCGUCUUGAAACACGGACCAAGGAGUCGUCUUCGUAUGCGAGUGUUCGGGUGUCAAACCCCUACGCGUAAUGAAAGUGAACGCAGGUGAGAGCUUCGGCGCAUCAUCGACCGAUCCUGAUGUUCUCGGAUGGAUUUGAGUAAGAGCAUACGGGGCCGGACCCGAAAGAAGGUGAACUAUGCCUGUAUAGGGUGAAGCCAGAGGAAACUCUGGUGGAGGCUCGCAGCGGUUCUGACGUGCAAAUCGAUCGUCAAAUAUGGGCAUGGGGGCGAAAGACUAAUCGAACCUUCUAGUAGCUGGUUUCCGCCG